GGGGGAUAGCCCGGGGAAACCCGGAUUAAUACCGCAUACACCCUUUGGGGGAAAGCAGGGGAUCUUCGGACCUUGCGCUAUUGGAUGUGCCUAUGUCGGAUUAGCUAGUUGGUGGGGUAAGAGCCUACCAAGGCGACGAUCCGUAGCUGGUCUGAGAGGAUGAUCAGCCACAUCGGGACUGAAACACGGCCCGAACUCCUACGGGAGGCAGCAGUGGGGAAUAUUGGACAAUGGGGGCAACCCUGAUCCAGCCAUGCCGCGUGUGUGAAGAAGGCUUUCGGGUUGUAAAGCACUUUCAGUGAGGAGGAAAACCUUACGACUAAUACUCGUGAGGCUUGACGUUACUCACAGAAGAAGCACCGGCUAACUCCGUGCCAGCAGCCGCGGUAAUACGGAGGGUGCAAGCGUUAAUCGGAAUUACUGGGCGUAAAGCGCGCGUAGGUGGUUUGAUAAGCGAGAUGUGAAAGCCCCGGGCUCAACCUGGGAACGGCAUUUCAAACUGUCAAGCUAGAGUAUGGUAGAGGAGUGUGGAAUUUCCUGUG
rnacentral:rRNA from 1 species